UAUCAGUAUUCCCUUUAAAAUUUCAGCCAACCGAACUGAACAAUUGUUGUGGUUAGAAAGCAUCAAGAUAUUGAUUUUAAAUCUUAUAUCUACAUAUAUGUAUUGUGUUUGUUUGUUUUUGGACAGAAAAGUGAAUUAUUGGAUUUCUUUUUUGUUUGCUUUGAUCUCUUAUUGUUCUUGAUAUUAUAAUAUUCCUUUUCUUGCUCUCUUUGGCUGUUCAAAGUAUGAGAAAAUGAAAACUUGGGUUUCAUUUCUUUGUUGUUUGUUUUUGGUAAGAAAUGAAAAUUCAGUGACUGAGGUGAUACUUUAAUUGCUCCCUGAUCCUUUGAAGUAAUGACUUAUUUAUUAUUUUUUAUUUUUUGAAGACAAAAGAAUUGGAAGCCGAGCUGGUGAAUGUAACAGGGGCAGCUAGGCCAUGUCGCAAAAUAAGGUCUGAGCAAGACAAGGAGCCAGAAAAGGAGGUUGUAUCUGAAGUUGUGGGUGCUGG